UGUAAAUGAAAACAACAACCACUGGAAGUUUGUGGUGAGUAAAAGAAGUUGACACACCAAAGUUAAAUGUAAUGGGCUGGUCAUUCUUUAAUCUUGUAUGUAUUCUGAAUGAUUUUUUUUGUGCAUCCCUGGACUGUACCUUCAUGCUCCAACAAGCCAAAUAUUCAUUGUUGAUCCUGCUGACCCUGAGAGUGAUCUGGAAGAGUCCAGGGAAGCAGCAAAACGCUUUUGGCUGUUAAUAUAUUCACAAACUUACCGUUCUUUUCUGAUAAAAUGGCAAGACAAAUCAUCCAAAGCUUUCCAGCAAUUCCAAAGCGACUCAAUAUCAAUUCGCAACGCAAAAACAUUGCACGUCUAAGAGAACAAAUGGCAGAGGAGAUGCUUCUUGCAUCAGUCCAAAAUCAAUUUCUGCUCUGAAUGCGGAUUCAAAGUUCCUCUGGCCUUACAAAUCCGAACAGAAGAUAUUCUCUGGAUCGAAUGUGGUAAAUGCAGAAACAGAUGGUUCCAUGCAUCUUGCCUUGGAAUGACAGAUGCCAGUGCUCCCAAGAAAGACAUUGGAUGGUAUUGUGCAAUUUGCAUUUAAGAAAUACAAAAGGAAUGUUAACAUGUUAACAUAACACUAUGAAUGUUUGAAGAUUCAUGGAGGUCAGAAAAAAUGUCUGCUGUAGUAACAAAAUCUAUAGCUACAGUACAUGUUUGUUACAUUUUGGCGAGUACUAGCCUAAGUCAGUCACUAGCCUAAGGCAUUUCUUGUCUAAUAAAUUACAUUCUGUAGUAGAAGAUAAAGACUGGGAAAGAGAU